rnacentral:rRNA from 1 species
AUAACCAUUGGAAACGAUGGCUAAUACCGCAUGAUGCCUACGGGCCAAAGAGGGGGACCUUCGGGCCUCUCGCGUCAGGAUAUGCCUAGGUGGGAUUAGCUAGUUGGUGAGGUAAGGGCUCACCAAGGCGACGAAAUCCCUAAGCUGGUCUGAGAGGAUGAUCAUGGCCAMACUGGAACUGAGACACGGUCCAGACUCCUACGGGAGGCAGGCAGUGGGGAAUAUUGCACAAUGGGCGCAAGCCUGAUGCAGCCAUGCCGCGUGUGUGAAGAAGGCCUUCGGGUUGUAAAGCACUUUCAGUCGUGGAGGAAGGUAGUGUAGUUAAUAGCUGCAUUAUUUGACGUUAGCGACAGAAGAAGCACCGGGCUAAACUCCCGUGCCAGCAGCCGCGGUAAUACGGAGGGUGCGAGCGUUAAUCGGAAUUACUGGGCGUAAAGCGCAUGCAGGUGGUUUGUUAAGUCAGAUGUGAAAGCCCGGGGCUCAACCUCGGAAUUGCAUUUGAAACUGGCAGACUAGAGUACUGUAGAGGGGGGUAGAAUUUCAGGUGUAGCGGUGAAAUGCGUAGAGAUCUGAAGGAAUACCGGUGGCGAAGGCGGCCCCCUGGACAGAUACUGACACUCAGAUGCGAAAGCGUGGGGAGCAAACAGGAUUAGAUACCCUGGUAGUCCACGCCGUAAACGAUGUCUACUUGGAGGUUGUGGCCUUGAGCCGUGGCUUUCGGAGCUAACGCGUUAAGUAGACCGCCUGGGGAGUACGGUCGCAAGAUUAAAACUCAAAUGAAUUGACGGGGGCCCGCACAAGCGGUGGAGCAUGUGGUUUAAUUUCGAUGCAACGCGAAGAACCUUACCUACUCUUGACAUCCAGAGAACUUUCCAGAGAUGGAUUGGUGCCUUUCGGGAACUCUGAGACAGGUGCUGCAUGGCUGUCGUCAGCUCGUGUUGUGAAAUGUUGGGUUAAGUCCCCGCAACGAGCGCAACCCUUAUCCUUGUUUGCCAGGCGAGUAAUGUCGGGAACUCCAGGGAAGAACUGCCGGUGAUAAACCGGAGGAAGGUGGGGACGACGUUCAAGUCAUCAUGGCCCUUACCGAGUUAGGGCCUAACACACGUGCUACAAUGGCGCAUACAGAGGGCGGCCAACUUGCGAAAGUGAGCGAAUCCCAAAAAGUGCGUCGUAGUCCGGAUUGGAGUCUGCAACUCGACUCCAUGAAGUCGGAAUCGCUAGUAAUCGUGGAUCAGAAUGCCACGGUGAAUACGUUCCCGGGCCUUGUACACACCGCCCGUCACACCAUGGGAGUGGGCUGCAAAAGAAGUAGGUAG